UCUAUCACUGGUUCCCAUAUAAUCACCAAAGUUAAGCAAUAUCGAGCCUGGUCGGUACCUAGACGGGUGACUGUUUAGGAAUGCCGGGUGCUGUAA